CAGAGGGUGCGAGCGUUAAUCGGAAUUACUGGGCGUAAAGGGCGCGUAGGCGGUUGUGUAAGUUGGAUGUGAAAGGCCCGGGCUUAACCUGGGAGUUGCAUCUGAUACUGCAUGACUAGAGUAGUGUAGAGGGGAGUGGAAUUUCCAGUGUAGCGGUGAAAUGCGUAGAUAUUGGAAAGAACACCGGUGGCGAAGGCGGCUCCCUGGACACAUACUGACGCUGAGGCGCGAAAGCGUGGGGAGCAAACAGGGUUAGAUACCCUGGUAGUCCACGCUGUAAACGAUGAGGACUAGAUGUUGGUCCGGUAAAACGGAUUAGUAUCGAAGCUAACGCGUUAAGUUCUCCGCCUGGGGAGUACGGCCGCAAGGCUA
rnacentral:rRNA from 1 species